CUUAAAUAUUGACUGUGUUUGUCGUAUUUCUUUUUCGUAGAUGUUUUAAAUAAUUUAUGUGCUGAUAUUAAUUAAAAUAGUAGCUGUAAUUUAUAGCUUGAAGUGUUAGAGUAAAAAUUGUUUUACAACAAAGUUAUUUAAUGUCGUAAAUAUGGCGCAUUUGCAAUACAUGCCCGGAGAUCCUCGUCUCGUCGAUCAACUGGUUUAUGAGUUAAAGUCGAAGGGUAUUUUUGAUCAGUUCCGCAAAGACUGCAUCGCAGACGUAGACACAAGACCAGCUUACCAGAACUUGCGACAGCGUGUGGAGAACUCCGUAUCCUCAUUCCUGUCCCGCCAGUGCUGGAAGCCAGACCUCAACAAGAACCAGCUGCGGGAGAAACUUAGGAAACAUAUCCUUGAUGGCAACUACUUAGAGCAGGGAGUCGAAAGGAUUGUGGAUCAAGUGGUAAACCCAAAGGUUGCAUCCGUAUUCAUACCACAAGUUGAAGACCUAGUUUACAACUACUUAGGCAUAUCUCGGAAGAAAUCAGUCACUGCUGAAACUUCCAAUGGAAAACUAAGCACAGAUGAUCUCCUUCCCACAGAUUUAGAAGCUGUUAGCCCAGGUUCAGUAAAAAGCAAUGAUGACAGGUCAGAAGCUAUGGACGAUGAUUUUGGCGAAGAGAAUAAAAUGGAUGUGGACAUUAAAGAUGAAGAUAAAACCUCCAUUUCAGAAAUAGAAAAACCCAAAGUUGAAGGAGAUUCACAACCCACAAUCAUUGAAAUAAACACCGAUUCUGAUAUGGAAACAGAAAAACCCAUGACAAUGCAUGAAGAUAUAAAGCUUGAGAACAUACCUCCGCCUGAUAAUAGCCCGCCGAAAGUUGAACUCGAGAACAUUGAUAUUGAAAAAAUCGAACUUCCAAAAGAACCCAACAUUGGUACUGAAGUGCCGAAUCCUGGUGAAAUACCACUUCCUAAGGAUGAUAAGGAGCAAUUCUUCAAGCCAAUAGGCGUCCCAAGUGACGAUGAUUCAAGCAGCGAUUCAUCUUUGCGUAGAAAUAUGUCGCCUUUAACACCAAUACGCAAUUAUAACAACGAAAAUUCAUGUGAUGCGCAACAAGCUUUUGAAAAUGAUUCUGACAGCAAAAGUAAUGACAAAAAAGAGCCUAGUUCUUUUAGGUUCGCUAUAGAUGCUAAGUCUGCUGAGAACAGUCAAGACGGAAAACCGGAAAAGAAAGAUGCUGAACAAGCAAACCUCGCUUAUCAGUUCAAUAAUCAAGUGAACAUUAACACAUUUAACACGCCUUUGUACGACGACAGUUCAAACAGCAACAAUUUACAUAUAGAUUACGAAAGCGACGUCAACAGCAAGUUGAACGCAGAAAAAGUGCCAGAAGCCGAUCAGAAUUCAGAAGACAAGAGAGAUAAGAAGAGUGAUGACAGGAAAAGUACCCAUAAAAGCUCCCAUAGGUCCAGGGAUUCGCACAGGCAUUCUAGCAGCAAAGAUAAAAGGUCUGAUUCUAAACAAGGAAACUCUCGAGACAGCAGCAGGCAUGACAAGAAGACUAAAGAUGAGCACAGCAAAUCUAAAUCCAGUCAUAGGGAAAGAGAGAAGUCCAGGGAGAGAAGCGAUAAGAAGGAUAGCAGGGAUUCAUCUAAACAUAGGAGUUCUUCUCAUAAGAGCAGUUCUAGCCACAGGGACUCGAAAUCUCACCGAAGCUCAAGCUCCAGUCAGAAGCACUCAAGUGAGAAAAGAUCUUCAGAUGACAAAAAGUCGUCUUCUAGCCAAAAAUCUGAAAGAAGUUCGGAGAAAAGUUCUGACAGAAGUUCUAGAGACAAAAGGGACUCAAAAUCCAGCUCUCAUCGAUCAGACAAAGAUAGGAAGAGUAGCAGCAGUAGGAGCAAACAUGAUGACAAAGAUAAGAAAAAGGAAAAGAAAGAAACUGACGACCAUUACAGUUUGUCUGGUAGAGGGAAUCACGGAAGACGGUCUACCGAUAGAGAUUCAAACGAUGGCAGCUCUUCGUCCAAAGGAUCCCAAAAUCAAUCUGGUACAAAACCGACGGAAAACAAGAAAGAAUCGAAAGGUUCAAGCUCUAAAUCAGACAAUACGUCGACUACCAGUGGUGAAUCUACUAGCCCCAGUGACAAAGAACAUGGAAUUAUCACAGCUAAUGAGACUAAAAAUAACCAAAAACCUAUUAGGGUUGAAAAUCACUUAGAGACUCCUAUCGCAAGUCCUCCGAGACUGCCUUUCGUGCCGGAUGUCACGUUAAAGAAACCAAAAUUCGCAGCUAACUUGGAAGAAGCAAAACGGAUGAUGAAAAUGAGGAAGUUCCUAGAUGAAGAACAGAAGAGAAUGAACCAAGAGGCUGCGUUACUUCUUGAAUUUCAAGCUAAUGUUAGGCCCAGUUUGAGUCAGGUCUACUCUAGUAUUCCUGGGCCUGAGUUAGAAUUCGCUUGCAUAGCUCACGAAGUCAACAACAUAGUUCAAAGUAAAAUAACAAAAACAGAACACGUUUCGGAAGAAACUGUACCUUUAGAACCCAAAGCAACAGACUCUGAAAGCAACAUUAAAGACGUAACAACCAAAAUCAUGCAAACUGCUGAUAAAAACAAAGUUACAAAUGAAAUUAUUGAUGAACUCGAAGAAACUCUAACUAACGACUCACAAAUGUUUGAUGAAACAGAUACAAAACCUACUACUCCCGACAAGAAUGAAACUUACAACGAAAACAAACCAUUUUCUCAACUCAUGGAAGAAAUAUCAGAAUACAGUAAAGCUUCAGAGAAAAAUAAGAAAGACGCGUUAGACAAUUUAGUUGAUGAUGACAAGAAACGCACAGAAUAUUUUGAGGUAACUAUCAUAACGGAAGAAUUAUCUGAAACCGAUGAUUCUAUUGCGGAACCCAUGCCUGAAGCUGUGGUUAAACCUGAACAAGAAAUUAUAGAAAACCCCGAAAAUCCCCAACCUGAAAUUACCGAAAACCCUGAACAAGAAAUAUCUAAAGAUCCUAAAGUUGAAGUAAUCGAAGAUAUUAAAAUCGAAAUAGUUGAAGUUCCUAAAGUCGAAAUAACCGAAAUCCCUAAAGUCGAAGUAAUUGCAAGUCCCGAAGCUUCUGAACCCGCCAAAAAAGAAGAAGAAACCUUAAAAUACUUUGCUGAACACGAGAAAUUCGAUGCAGAACUAAAAAGGCAUCAAUACAGCGACUUCCUAAAAUCCUACACUGAAAGAAAUCUAGUCUCCGACAAAAUUCACGUAAUAAACUGCGACCCUUACGAAGAAAAUAUCAUCAAAGAAGUUUGCUCUUCGUUCGGGAAUUUCGAAGUAAUAAACUACUUCAAAAACGGUCAUUUGAAACUGCCAAAAACGUCUAAAAAUGUCAUUAAAAAUGUAAACUUGGCUUCAGAAAUAUCAUUGCCUGUUGACAAUUCUUGUGGGUCCAAAUCUCCUUCACUGGUUUUCAGUCCGGUAAAAUCUGAGUGUUCGUUCGAAUUAUCAAGUGAUUAUGAUGCCAAGUUAGAAGAGAUGGUGAACAAAACAUCCCGCCAAGAAGUGAUGGAGAUCAUACUUGGCAACGUUAUAGAUGAGAACCCUUCUAUAGAUUAUUGUACCGAGUCCAGUAUUGAUAAUGAUUUGAAUCUUAAACGGAAGAUAGUUGAAGAUGGUCCGGAGAAUAAUAAUAAACACGUUUUGAAGAAAGUUAGGAAACUCAGUGACUCUGAUCAGAUUUCAUCAACUACCGAAGAAAGUGAAGAGAUUUCGAACAACAAUAGGGUAUCGCAACCUACUAGGUCAAAGUACCUGGGUAGGGCUCGACGGGUCGGCUUGGCAAGACCUAGGAGGAAUAAUUUACCCAACAGUCCUUCAAGCGACAAAUCGGUGGAGAAUUAUGAACAAAACACCCAAGCGACACCUACAGCACAAACGCCAAACGGGAAAUUCAAAACUGUCACACGGAACAAAGUUCAAAGAUACGAUACUUCUGAUCUAUACAAGCCGAAACUACACUAUUUGUCCAGAAGAAAUAAUAUCAGUUAAGUCAUUCGUUUUUUACCUUGAUUUUUCUGUGUGGGCUAACAUCCCCAGAAAUGGUACCAUAUAUGUAACUCACUUUACCUUAUAAUGUGUACCUUGCUUUACCUUUCAAUGGUUUAAUUUUACCCUGAAAAGUAAGGUUGCCAACUCGGGGAUGAAAUUGUUAAUUUGUGUUGCCAAACCAAAAAAAGGUUGGCAGGUUAUUUUUGGAGCUUAAUAUAAUUUGUAUAAAAGAAAUAUUAGUUAUGUCUUAAACUUCAUGCAUAAUCUUUUUGAAGAUUUUAUUGAGAUUAUAAAUCUUAGUGAACUUAAAAACGUAUUUUGACAUUUCAUUUUGCCUCUAAAAAGGUUGUACUGAAAGUUGCUUACUUCCUUGUGAGUGCAAAAUGCUUCUUAUUUCUGUACUGUGUACAUUUCAUGUUCGCUCGUAGAAUUGUCUUUAUUUCCUUAUCCUAAAGGCGUAAGAAUGUAUGUAAAAUUUUAAAACACGCCUGAAUUAAUAUAUCUCAGCAUAUUAAACAAAAACUGAAUAUAACAUUAAAAUGCAUAUAAAUUGGCAUGAAAUUUGUGAUGAAUCCUGCCUUUAUUUUUAGGAAGGAACAAAUACGGAAAGUUUAUAAUUCAUUGGGUAACACUCGGAUCGUGGCUUAGGGUACUAUUAUGGAUAAAAUGUGGAUUUUUUAACUUAAAUGAUUCUGGUUAAUAAUGAAUUUACGACCAAAAAGCAGCCUAGCUAGGGAUUGCAAAAGUAUGAAUAAUUUUGUAACUUGCUUCAUAAAAAGCAAAAAAUAUUUUCUUUUCCGGUAACCCAUAAAAGGUUAAAUGAAAACCAGUGUUGCUAUUUGCUAGUGCUGAAAUUCUAAAAUAUUUGUGUACGUAAUCCCUAGUGACGCCUUUUGAUCUAAUUACUGCCAGAAAUCUAAAUAUCUGUAUCGAUUGUAUCGGUUGCUGAAUAAGAUUUUUUUCUCACUGUGAUACCAGCAAAAUCUAAUUCCAAAUCGCCCCGAAAUACUCGCAAUUUUUUUUGGGACAUCUAAAUUGGAAUGUAUCCCUUGUAAUAAAACGUAACUUUUAAAUGUAGUAACAAUUUUAAGUCGACGAAGUAUGAUGUAGUAUUAAAUUAAAUAAAUAUUUUAUGAAAACUUUAAUUAACUAUUUCGUUAUUUUAUGAUCUAAUGUAUUUUGCUUUGAGGGGAAAUUUUUUUUAUCAAAAUUAUGGCGUAAUAAUUAAACCGCUGUAUGUCAGAGCGCAGGUAUAUGCGAGAAACGUUUGUUUUUCUAUGGUUCCAUAAUCAUAAUUUGCCCACAAAUAUAAAAAAAAAUGGUGACAUAAUCCGACCAUGCUAUUAUAAAACCUAUUACCUUCUAUAAAAAAUAACAUUCAUAUAUCAGAGAUUGUGUUCAGCAUGAAUGAAAUUAUUUACCAAUAUACUCGAAUUUCUACAAAUAAGUUCUAUCACCAACUUGGAAACGUUUUAUGCUUAUUGUUAUUAACUUUUUUGCAAACUUCCCCGAUUAAGGAAUAUUAGGAAUAUUUAAGAUCAGUGUUCCCACUCAAGGAACAUUUAAAAUUCUGUUCCCGAUUAAGGAACAUAUAAUAUAAUUUUUCCCGAUUUGGGAACUUUCAGUUUAACAUUAUUCCAUACUGGGAAUAAUUUCUAUGAUAGAUUGUUGUUUUCUAUAUUCAUGAAAUAUUUUAAUUAAUCGUAAAACCAUAUAAACUCUGGAAUACAUUUACCAUGGAACCUCCAACCUGUUCCCUAUUUAGAUUUUUUUUUUGUUAUUACUUUUAUUACUAUAAAGUUUUAGUAGGCACUUAAAAGGUAUACAAUAGUGAUAUGACUUUUUAUUUUAAAAUUAGAUAUGGCUAAAAAUCUAUGUUUAAAACAAUAAGUUAAACAAUGGAAUCCUAAUUUUAAGCAGUAGUUUAUUUUUUGAAUACUUAUUCUUCUAUAAAAAAUCGUAUCAAGAUUGUUUGCGUUUGUAAUAAGUGCCUAAUCAAACAAAUUACAUAAUUACAAGUGAGUAACUAAUGAAAUUAUAUGUUUUCUUCAUUUUAAUAGUUACUAGAUAUUGUGUGAUAAAAUCCUGAUAUGUUCUGUAUGGUUUUAAACAUAGUAAUAUAUUUAAGUUACAAAAAUAUUUAGGUGAUGUGCAAUUUACUGCAAAAGAAAGACAAGUUUAUGUAGGUAUAUUUAUUUCAUUUUAAUCUUGACAAAAUAAUUACAGAUUUCCACGUAUAAAAAAGAUUUAAAAAAGAUGUAUUAAUGAUCUGCCUGAUGUAGAAAUGUUAUUCCCUAUUUCUUUAUAAAAUCCUUUUGUAGUACCUUGUACUUGCCUAUAUGAAUAAUAAAGCUUUGUACAUAUACAAACAUAUAUCCCAUGUUAAAAUAAUAUGUGACAGUAAUACAGAGUGGAAAAUAAUCAGCAUUUAUAUUGCAGAGUAACGACUUACUAUACAGACUUACUAUAACCGUUAGUGGACACUUGAACAAACAAUAAGUAACUAAAACUACCACUAGACUGGUUCUUGUUCUAAGCUCAAAACAUUAUAGUAAAUUAUAGCCUAAAAACGUGUUUAAAAUAUCGAUUAAAAUCUUUUUUCCUGCCCCGUUCCCAAUUUUAUUUAAGGUUGUGCACCCAAAAAUAUCUGCAAAUCUAAAAAAGUCUGUAUGGAAUGAUUCUAGAAUGGAGUGAUUAUUUUCUUUUCUGUAGUCCAAUUUUCUAUAAUCAAUCCCCUUGAUAAUCUGUCUAUAAUUUUACUACAACUCAUCUAAAGGUUAGCGUACCAAACUAGAAACUUGUAUUCAAGGUUAGCAUUAGUUCAGAAAAUUGUCUCUUCCGAACGGUGAUUUUAACAUGUAUCAAUGUUUAGGAUCACCGUAUUUUUUCAUGAUUUUACUCCUCAAUAGCUAAUCUUGUAUUACUUUCUAUUUAAAUACUGUAGUAUCCCAAUUUGUUAUCUGGAUUUUUUAUCGAAGAAAUGGCGGGAGUCAUGUGAUUUUCAAAUUGCUUUGUAUAGUAAAUAUUGUAUAAGUUAGCUUCACCUUCUAAAUGAUUUGACUGUGUUCUAUCAGCCCUUUGUAUUAUAAAAAUCGCGACGUUUGUUUGUCGUGAAACUAUAAUUUGUUGUUAUAAUUAUAAUAAAAUAUAAUUUAUUCGGAACGUA
rnacentral:misc_RNA from 1 species